rnacentral:lncRNA from 10 species
UGUCACUUUCUAACAUUGCAGAUGAGGGAAUAGCAAACACGUAUUAAUCAAGAAGAGCAGUUUCUGCAAUUGGCAAUAUUCUAAUCACUGAAUUUUCAAGAUUUUAGUUGUAAUUAUUUAGUAUCAGUUUCAAAUUAUUUGCAACAUUUUAAUUGUAAUUGUUUAGUAUCAGUUUCCAAACUAUUUGCAGUAUUUUAGUUAUUGUUUAGUAUCAGUUUCCAAUUGAUUAUUUUGAAGCAUGAUCAAUUCACAUAGUAUUUCUUUGUCACUAGCUUAUUCCCUUCAUAUGCUUUCAAACAUGCACAGCUGUUUCUUAGUACCAGCUACAGUGAAUCUAUCACUGUAGGUCUACUUUUAGCAGACAUUGAAACCAGAAGCUUCAAAAUUCUUUAGGCUCAUAACUUCAGAGAACACUCUACCUAGCUCUGGAUUUCCAAAAUUUUAUAAACUAGUUCAUUAGUCUUCAGAUGCAGAUAGGACUUGUCCUCUACAAAAGAAUAAUUAUAAAAAUGUUGAGCUAUAAAGAGAGGGAUUUGGAGAACUGUUAGGGAAAACAAAACAUGACUGAAAGCUCCCUCCACAAACCCACUUGAUUUUUUCUCCUUAGUCUUUUCUUCCAUUGCCUAUUGUAUUGUAUUUUAGUGGCAAGUACAACCCACUUUAACCACAAAAAUUUAGAAAGAAGAUAAUUUAUUAAAACAAACAAGGUUUUAAAGUAAUCACUGCUGUCUUUCCUCCACACAAGGAAGAUAUUAAAAACCUGACAUUUCUGAGUCUAUAGUGAUAAUUUGCAAGGUUUUUAAUUCAAAUAAAAUUAUACUGGACUUUGUUGGAAGUGGCUGAAUCAUGGGUGUAGUUCCCCCAUGCUGUUCCUAUGAUAGUGAAUGAGUUCUCACGAGAUCUGAUUGUUUUGUGAGGGAUUUUUCCCCCACUUUGCAAUUCUUUCAUUCUUCUCUCCUGCCAACUUGUGAAGAUAGAUGUGUUUGCUUCUCUCUCCACCAUGAUUUUAAGUUUCCUGAGGCCUCCGCAGCCCUGCAAAACUGCCUCUGAGCCCAAGCCAAGCCAUCGCAUCCCCUUGCAAUUGCCAAGCCAUUGCACGUAUACGCCCAGAUGGCCUGAAGUAACUGAAGAAUCACAAAAGAAGUGAAAAGGCCCUGCCCC